rnacentral:lncRNA from 1 species
UUGCAAUAUACCUGAGGCUGUCUCAUGCAGAAGCUCUUAGGCUAUCAAAAUGCUGAGAAAGCUUUCCAGGCUGCAAGAAUUGAGUGCAGUAUUCAUUUAUUAACUAUGAACUAUGGACCUAACCUUUGCCAGGUGCUGAGUUAAAUUCUCACCCACGUGGAACUCGAAUCCAGUAAAUCUAAGGAAUAAUUAUGUAAAGUGUGGUUUAUGCUUCUUGUGGGUGAGGCAUCAUGUCUUAACACUCAGUUUUGGAACGAUCCUUAGGGAGACGGCUGUAGGAGAAGGUAAGAAUAAUAAUCCUGAAGUUCGAAAACCAGACCCAAUUCAUCGUGAUGAUGGGAUCGACUCUGGAACUCUCCCAGGAUGGGACAGCUAAGUUCACAUGCCAUACCAUGUGUGACCACAGUCACCUCCUGACGUGUUAUCACAUUUCAGGGCCUAUACUCUGGCCCACAGGGUAAGUGUGGAUAAUGACGUGUAUUCAUGUAUAUUUUCCUGACUGCUGUUUUGGCCAUUGUUUAUAUACAUGCUGCAUGGGGGAAAUAUGCCUGACAAGAAAGUCAACUAAACACUGUUAAUAUUAAUAAUGACCUUCAGGCUUGAAGCCUGAUAUCCAAUGGGAGAUAUGAGUUGUGAAGGGUUAACCAAGUGAGUUUUCAAGAGGGACAGUCUCCUCUAAUGUGUUCUUAGGUAAGUAGAGUGGUCUUCCCACAAACUCCCGACGCAUGCAAAUCUAGCAUUCUUUGCCAGCCUUGAACAACAGCCACUCUAAGAGGAUUACAUCCCAUUGCACGCUUGUGCGGGGGAGAAGUCACAGUUGCAUGGGUUGGCCUGCAGCCAUUUUCUGGGUUGAGUCCUAUGAUUGACAUGAACAAAUAGUUCCUCUAAUGGCAACACAAUUAGGUACCAUGGCUGCUGUGUGUGGGACACGCGGCCCAGAGUCUGACGGAGGUGUUCAGGAGGCUGGGACUGGUGAGGCUGCUUUUGCAAGGUGUUCCUCCUUGGCUCCUGUUAAACCUCUUCUUUACAGUCUGUCAGGAAGAUAAGCUUGAUAUUGAGAAAGACUUCACUGAGUCCCACUCAAGCAACGAGGUGGUAAUUUAACACUCUGGCAACCAGCUUUGGACUCCUUAACUGAAGGAUGUUUGGUAAAUCUCAAGAGACGGAAAGAAGCCCAGAAUACUCUCAAAGUCAGUCUGUAACUGAACUCUGCUUGUAGCAAAUCUAGAAGAAAGAACCAAGUUGCUAAAUUGGUUUUCUCCUGCCAAACACUCCUCAGGCAUUCAAGAUAGAAAAGUAAAAACAGGAGUGAGGGCCUGUGGAAGGCUUAAGAGUUGGUCCUAGGGGGAUGUCAGGGUAUUGCUUAAAAGGAUUUUGUUGCAAUUUUCCACUAUUGUUUUAUUUUUCUUCUAAAGGCAGAUCCAACAUUUGAAUCCCUUCUUGGUCAUGCAAGACACCCAUUCUUCCUGUGGAAUCUUGCUCAUGGUCAAAGGGGAAACGAAUGAUCACCAGGUGACUUUCCUUUAGAGUUUACCUUUAUCUUCUGCAUGUUUGACCUCUGACAACUACCUUUCCUAAUUUAAUAAACAUACAGAAUUACUUUGUCUAAGAAUGACCUUGGGGUCAGAGUUUGUUUUCUUUAAUAAGAUUACAAAACUUCUGGACUAGGGCUGUAGCUCAGUGGUAGAGCACUUGCCUUGCAUGUGUGAGGCACUGGGUUUGAUCCUCAGCACCACAUAAAAAUAAAAUAAAGAUAUUAUGUCCAUCUAUAACUAAAAAAAAAAUUUUAAUUACAAAACUUCUUAAAGUUGAGAGAGAAUUUCCUUCAUGUGAUAAAAAGUUCCUGAAAGGUGUUCAAUUUUUUAAUGCAAUGACUUGAGCAUAAUAUUUUCAUCUUUAUUAAAGUACUAGUGUAUAAUUUUAACUAUUCUUCAUUUGACAGUUGAUAGCCAUAGGAAAUAUUAGAGUAUGUGCUAGUCUCAGUUCCCCUUAAAGAUGGGAGAAUUUAUUUUAAAAUAUUCUGGUAUUAUUUUUAAAUUUUGUUUUACCCCAGAUAUCCAAAUAUAGCUGUAUAUUUUAAAUUAUAUACAAAAGGGCAAUAUCAAAACAGCUCCUCAAAUUUGUUUUAUUAGAAUGGCAUAUGAAUUCCAAAUAUAUGUAUAAAAGCCACACUUGCAAUAACAGCUGAUUUAGAGGUGAUUUUUUAAAAAAUGUGUGUGGUAUAGUAGAAUUCUUUGCUUUAUAAAAUAGCUUUCUACAGAGUUGAUUUAAGUAGCAUUCCCACCCAUUUUGUUUAACAGAGGAUUACGAAUACAAAAAAUUCCUAAGGACUUUGACGCACAUUUAGCUUCUUAAGGACAUUUCUAUGGAGUGAAGUAAGGCAUUUUUAUGGUUGUCUUCCAUUCACUUGUUUAUUUUUAAGGUAUUCUUUAUGUGCUGGAGUUUGGACCUAAUGCUAAGCAUGCUAUUAUAAGCACACUACCUUGUUCUUUGAGAUUUGGGGGAAAAGAUGAAAUGUUGGCUGAAUUCACUGUUUAGCAGGCUAAGGAUAAGGUAAAUGAUGCCCAGUUUGGGGGAGCGCAUGGGGUGGCAUCUAAAUCAAACUGGGGAGAAGCAUAGGCUUCUUAAAAGCAUUGGGAGAUUCAUUUUGAAGGAUGAGCAUCAGUUAACAGUUGAAAAAGGAGAAAGAAAAUUCUAGUUGUAGAGAACAGCAUGUAGAAACCCUCCUUGGGAUGUGACACAUCAAAGGCUGUGUGCAGUGGCCCAUGUCUGUUAUCUCAGCUACUUGGGAGGCUGAGGCAGGAGGAUUGCGAAGUUCAAGGUUAGCCUCAGCAACUUAGUGAGACCCUGUCUCAAAAUUUUAAAACAAAACAAACAAACAACAACAACAACAACAACAACAAAAAACUUAAAAAAAGAUUGGGAGUGUAGCUCAGUGUUAGAGCAUCCCUGGCAGCCCCCAAUACCAAAAUAAACAAACAAACAAAAAAAACCAAAAAACAUCAUGACAUCAAGACACACUUUUGGGGACCUUCAUGUAUGAUUGAGAAGGUGAACUUGGAAAAGUGAUGGAAGAUAAUCUCUCUUGGUUUAAUACCUAUUGACUGGUUAUGCUUUCUCCAUUUCCUUAGCCAUUUCCUAUUUUUUUACCUAAAUUCUUUAGAGUUUACAAAGACUGUGUCAUUGAGCUUCUCCUCUGUCUGUUCUCAUGCCACAGUGAUUUCAUUCAGUCUUUUGACUUUGCACCUGUAAGGACCCAGCAUUCCUCCCCUCUGGAGGGUCGGCAACAAGGCACCACUUUGGAAGAAGAAAGCAACUCUCACCAGACAAUUGAAACUCGCAGUGCUCUGAUCUUGGAUUUCCCAGCCUCCAUAUCCAUGAGAAAAUAAAUUUGUUUUAUAAAUUACCCAGUCUCAGGUGUUUUGGUAUAG